GAGUUCGUAGGCCAACGGUUAGGAUAAUUGCCAUCCAAGCAAUUGACCCGCGUUCGACUCCCGGCAAACGCA
rnacentral:tRNA from 1 species